rnacentral:tRNA from 1 species
UCUAAUAUGGCAGAAUAGUGCAAUGAAUUUAAGCUUCAUAUAUAAAGAUUACAUCUUUUAUUAGAA